AUAAGAGAUGCCUAUAAAGGAGCUGAAAUCUACCAGGGUGAGCAGGAGAGUCAGUCUAAGAAGGAAAUGUGAUGAUGGAAACAGAGGUUGGAAGAUGGAAGGGGACCCAGAGUCAAGGAAUGCAGGUAGAAAAGAAAAGCCUGGAUUCUCCCCUAAAGCCUCCAGAUGGAACACAGCCUUGCCUCCACCUUGAUUUCAGGACUUCUUACCCCAAGAAUCAAGAUGUCAGUACCGUGGAAUGACAUGACCAACAAUAAUAUGUUGCAACUCUGAGAUACAGCUAGAAAUUCUC
rnacentral:lncRNA from 1 species